rnacentral:rRNA from 1 species
AGAGUUUGAUCCUGGCUCAGGAUGAACGCUAGCGGCAGGCUUAACACAUGCAAGUCGAGGGGCAUCGGGAGGGAAGCUUGCUUUCCUUGCCGGCGACCGGCGCACGGGUGAGUAACACGUAUGCAACCUGCCCUCUUCAGGGGGACAACCUUCCGAAAGGGAGGCUAAUCCCGCGUAUAUCGGUUUCGGGCAUCCGAGAUCGAGGAAAGAUUCAUCGGAAGAGGAUGGGCAUGCGGCGCAUUAGCUAGACGGCGGGGUAACGGCCCACCGUGGCGACGAUGCGUAGGGGUUCUGAGAGGAAGGUCCCCCACACUGGUACUGAGACACGGACCAGACUCCUACGGGAGGCAGCAGUGAGGAAUAUUGGUCAAUGGGAGAGAUCCUGAACCAGCCAAGCCGCGUGAGGGAAGACGGCCCUAUGGGUUGUAAACCUCUUUUGUCGGAGAACAAAACCCGGGACGAGUCCCGGACUGCGUGUAUCCGAAGAAAAAGCAUCGGCUAACUCCGUGCCAGCAGCCGCGGUAAUACGGAGGAUGCGAGCGUUAUCCGGAUUUAUUGGGUUUAAAGGGUGCGUAGGCGGUCCGUUAAGUCAGCGGUAAAAUUGCGGGGCUCAACCCCGUCGAGCCGUUGAAACUGGCAGACUUGAGUUGGCGAGAAGUACGCGGAAUGCGCGGUGUAGCGGUGAAAUGCAUAGAUAUCGCGCAGAACUCCGAUUGCGAAGGCAGCGUACCGGCGCCAGACUGACGCUGAGGCACGAAAGCGUGGGGAUCGAACAGGAUUAGAUACCCUGGUAGUCCACGCAGUAAACGAUGAAUGCUGGUUGUCCGGGUCGAAUGAGACCUGGGCGGCGAAGCGAAAGCGAUAAGCAUUCCACCUGGGGAGUACGCCGGCAACGGUGAAACUCAAAGGAAUUGACGGGGGCCCGCACAAGCGGAGGAACAUGUGGUUUAAUUCGAUGAUACGCGAGGAACCUUACCCGGGCUCAAACGGGAGUGGAAUGGACCAGAGACGGUUCAGCCUACGGGCCGCUUCCGAGGUGCUGCAUGGUUGUCGUCAGCUCGUGCCGUGAGGUGUCGGCUUAAGUGCCAUAACGAGCGCAACCCCCGCCGGCAGUUGCUAACGGGCAAUGCCGAGGACUCUGCCGGGACUGCCACCGCAAGGCGUGAGGAAGGCGGGGAGGACGUCAAAUCAGCACGGCCCUUACGUCCGGGGCGACACACGUGUUACAAUGGGCGGUACAGCGGGAAGCCAGGCGGCGACGCCGAGCGGAACCCGAAAGCCGUUCUCAGUUCGGAUCGGAGUCUGCAACCCGACUCCGUGAAGCUGGAUUCGCUAGUAAUCGCGCAUCAGCCAUGGCGCGGUGAAUACGUUCCCGGGCCUUGCACACACCGCC